rnacentral:rRNA from 1 species
UACGGAGGGUGCAAGCGUUAAUCGGAAUUACUGGGCGUAAAGCGCGCGUAGGCGGUUUGGUAAGUCGGUUGUGAAAGCCCCGGGCUUAACCUGGGAAUUGCAGUCGAUACUGUCUGACUAGAGUAUGGUAGAGGGAAGUGGAAUUUCCGGUGUAGCGGUGAAAUGCGUAGAUAUCGGAAGGAACACCAGUGGCGAAGGCGACUUCCUGGGCCAAUACUGACGCUGAGGCGCGAAAGCGUGGGGAGCGAUCCGG